rnacentral:rRNA from 1 species
GGGAAUCUACCGUGCCCUGCGGAAUAGCUCCGGGAAACUGGAAUUAAUACCGCAUACGCCCUACGGGGGAAAGAUUUAUCGGGGUAUGAUGAGCCCGCGUUGGAUUAGCUAGUUGGUGGGGUAAAGGCCUACCAAGGCGACGAUCCAUAGCUGGUCUGAGAGGAUGAUCAGCCACAUUGGGACUGAGACACGGCCCAAACUCCUACGGGAGGCAGCAGUGGGGAAUAUUGGACAAUGGGCGCAAGCCUGAUCCAGCCAUGCCGCGUGAGUGAUGAAGGCCUUAGGGUUGUAAAGCUCUUUCACCGGUGAAGAUAAUGACGGUAACCGGAGAAGAAGCCCCGGCUAACUUCGUGCCAGCAGCCGCGGUAAUACGAAGGGGGCUAGCGUUGUUCGGAAUUACUGGGCGUGAAGCGCACGUAGGCGGAUAUUUAAGUCAGGGGUGAAAUCCCAGAGCUCAACUCUGGAACUGCCUUUGAUACUGGGUAUCUUGAGUAUGGAAGAGGUAAGUGGAAUUGCGAGU